rnacentral:misc_RNA from 1 species
GAUGAAGAACGUAGCGAAAUGCGAUAAGUAAUGCGAAUUGCAGAAUUCAGUGAAUCAUCGAAUCUUUGAACGCACAUUGCGCCCGCCAGUAUUCUGGCGGGCAUGCCUGUUCGAGCGUCAUUUCAACCAUCAAGCCCCCGGCUUGUGUUGGGGACCUGCGGCUGCCGCAGGCCCUGAAAAGCAGUGGCGGGCUCGCUGUCACACCGAGCGUAGUAGCAUACAUCUCGCUCUGGGCGUGCUGCGGGUUCCGGCCGUUAAACCACCUUCAUAACCCAAGGUUGACCUCGGAUCAGGUAGGAAGACCCGCUGAACUUAAGCAUAUCAAUAAGCGGAGGA